CAUGAACGCUGGCGGCGUGCCUAAUACAUGCAAGUCGAGCGAACAGAUGAGGAGCUUGCUCCUCUGACGUUAGCGGCGGACGGGUGAGUAACACGUGGAUAACCUACCUAUAAGACUGGGAUAACUUCGGGAAACCGGAGCUAAUACCGGAUAAUAUAUUGAACCGCAUGGUUCAAUAGUGAAAGACGGUUUUGCUGUCACUUAUAGAUGGAUCCGCGCCGCAUUAGCUAGUUGGUAAGGUAACGGCUUACCAAGGCAACGAUGCGUAGCCGACCUGAGAGGGUGAUCGGCCACACUGGAACUGAGACACGGUCCAGACUCCUACGGGAGGCAGCAGUAGGGAAUCUUCCGCAAUGGGCGAAAGCUUGACGGAGCAACGCCGCGUGAGUGAUGAAGGUCUUCGGAUCGUAAAACUCUGUUAUUAGGGAAGAACAAAUGUGUAAGUAACUAUGCACGUCUUGACGGUACCUAAUCAGAAAGCCACGGCUAACUACGUG
rnacentral:rRNA from 1 species